rnacentral:rRNA from 1 species
GGCUCAGAAUGAACGCUGGCGGCGUGCUUAACACAUGCAAGUCGAACGAGAACUCUUUGAGCUUGCUCGAAGAAAGUAAAGUGGNCCCGGGUGAGUAACGCGUGGGUAAUCUGUCUUCAAAUUCGGGAUAACCCGCCGAAAGGCGUGCUAAUACCGGAUAACAUCAUGUACGCUGAGGUGUAUGUGAUCAAAGGUAGCCUCUACAAGUAAGCGACUGUUUGGAGAUGAGCCUGCGUACCAUUAGUUAGUUGGCGGGGUAACGGCCCACCAAGGCGACGAUGGUUAGCUGGUCUGAGAGGAUGAUCAGCCACACUGGAACUGACACACGGUCCAGACUCCUACGGGAGGCAGCAGUGAGGAAUUUUGCGCAAUGGGCGGAAGCCUGACGCAGCAACGCCGCGUGAGUGAAGAAGGCCUUCGGGUCGUAAAGCUCUGUCAAAUGGGAAGAACCUGUGCAUGGUAAACAAGUGUGCACACUGACGGUACCAUUGAAGGAAGCACCGGCUAACUCCGUGCCAGCAGCCGCGGUAAUACGGAGGGUGCGAGCGUUAUUCGGAAUUAUUGGGCGUAAAGAGCACGUAGGCGGCAGUGCAAGUCAGGUGUGAAAACCCGGGGCUUAACCUCGGAAGCGCAUUUGAAACUGUGCUGCUUGAGUAUGGGAGAGGGAAGUGGAAUUCCUGGUGUAGCGGUGAAAUGCGUAGAUAUCAGGAGGAACACCGGUGGCGAAGGCGACUUCCUGGACCAAUACUGACGCUGAGGUGCGAAGGCGUGGGUAGCAAACAGGAUUAGAUACCCUGGUAGUCCACGCAGUAAACGGUGAUUACUAGGUGUAGCGGGUAUUGACCCCUGCUGUGCCGCAGUUAACGCAUUAAGUGAUCCGCCUGGGGAGUACGGCCGCAAGGUUAAAACUCAAAGGAAUUGACGGGGGCCCGCACAAGCGGUGGAGCAUGUGGUUUAAUUCGACGCAACGCGAAGAACCUUACCUGGAUUUGACAUCUGCGGGAGUGCUAUGAAAGUAGGAUGUGCCCUUCGGGGAGCCGCAAGACAGGUGCUGCAUGGCUGUCGUCAGCUCGUGUCGUGAGAUGUUGGGUUAAGUCCCGCAACGAGCGCAACCCUUGUCUUUAGUUACCAGCAUUUCGGAUG